UACGGGGGGGGUAAGCGUUGUUCGGAAUUACUGGGCGUAAAGCGCGCGUAGGCGGCCCCGUAAGUCCGCUGUGAAAGUCAAAGGCUCAACCUUUGAAAGCCGGUGGAAACUGCGGGGCUAGAGUCCGGAAGAGGCGAGUGGAAUUCCUGGUGUAGCGGUGGAAUGCGCAGAUAUCAGGAGGAACACCAAUAGCGAAGGCAGCUCGCUGGGACGGUACUGACGCUAAGGCGCGAAAGCGUGGGGAGCGAACAGG
rnacentral:rRNA from 1 species